rnacentral:rRNA from 1 species
UAGAGUUUUGAUCAUGGCUCAGAUUGAACGCUGGCGGCAGGCUUAACACAUGCAAGUCGAGCGGGGAUGAGGUGCUUGCACCUUAUCUUAGCGGCGGACGGGUGAGUAAUGCUUAGGAAUCUGCCAUUUAGUGGGGGACAACAUUCCGAAAGGAAUGCUAAUACCGCAUACGUCCUACGGGAGAAAGCAGGGGAUCUUCGGACCUUGCGCUAAAUGAUGAGCCUAAGUCGGAUUAGCUAGUUGGUGGGGUAAAGGCCUACCAAGGCGACGAUCUGUAGCGGGUCUGAGAGGAUGAUCCGCCACACUGGGACUGAGACACGGCCCAGACUCCUACGGGAGGCAGCAGUGGGGAAUAUUGGACAAUGGGCGGAAGCCUGAUCCAGCCAUGCCGCGUGUGUGAAGAAGGCCUUUUGGUUGUAAAGCACUUUAAGCGAGGAGGAGGCUACUAGUACUAAUACUACUGGAUAGUGGACGUUACUCGCAGAAUAAGCACCGGCUAACUCUGUGCCAGCAGCCGCGGUAAUACAGAGGGUGCGAGCGUUAAUCGGAUUUACUGGGCGUAAAGCGUGCGUAGGCGGCUUUUUAAGUCGGAUGUGAAAUCCCCGAGCUUAACUUGGGAAUUGCAUUCGAUACUGGGAAGCUAGAGUAUGGGAGAGGAUGGUAGAAUUCCAGGUGUAGCGGUGAAAUGCGUAGAGAUCUGGAGGAAUACCGAUGGCGAAGGCAGCCAU